UCUGGUAUAGGCAGGGAAGCACUGAAGGUCAGGCACAUCUCCAUCCUAUCUGAUUACAUGCCCUACCCCUCCAGGUUUGCCAGCAGUUCUGAGCAGGACACUGCAUCCAACCUUAUUUGUCUGAACAUCUUCUACCUCAUGGUCCCAACUUCAAAUCCAGUUCAAACUGACCAAGAUGCUGUUGGACCUGCUAGGUUUUGCCAGUAAUUUCUGAUCUACUUCAGAAUCAUUCUCAAUGGAAUUGACAGCCCUCAUUUCAACAGAUGCAGAAAAUCAAGUCUGAAAAAAUGAGCAUGCCAAAGAAAAUUCAUUUGGUGGAUCUCGAUCUGUGGAGAGGUAAGUAGAGAUUGACCGUGCUACAACAAUAGGAGCUUGCAUUUAUAUAGCAUUGUUAACAUCAUAAAACCUUGCAAGGUCUGACACAGGAGUAAACUCAGCCAAAAGCCAACUCAGAGCUGCAGAGAUGUUAGGCCAGCUUGAACAUUGGCGGUGCUGUCUCUAAAGACAAAUAAAUUUCAUCAAUCUCAGACUGAUCAAAAAGGACAGAAAGACAAUCUAACUAAGUUACAUGUUGCAGCUAAUACUCCAUUCAGCACUAUAGAACGUUUGUAUUAAAACUCACUUACUGACCCUCAAGCCAUUAAGGCAUACAUGGAA